CCCUUAGAGUUUGAUCCUGGCUCAGAUUGAACGCUGGCGGCAUGCCUUACACAUGCAAGUCGAACGGCAGCGCGGGGCAACCUGGCGGCGAGUGGCGAACGGGUGAGUAAUAUAUCGGAACGUACCCUGGAGUGGGGGAUAACGUAGCGAAAGUUACGCUAAUACCGCAUACGAUCUAAGGAUGAAAGUGGGGGAUCGCAAGACCUCAUGCUCCUGGAGCGGCCGAUAUCUGAUUAGCUAGUUGGUAGGGUAAAAGCCUACCAAGGCAUCGAUCAGUAGCUGGUCUGAGAGGACGACCAGCCACACUGGAACUGAGACACGGUCCAGACUCCUACGGGAGGCAGCAGUGGGGAAUUUUGGACAAUGGGCGCAAGCCUGAUCCAGCAAUGCCGCGUGAGUGAAGAAGGCCUUCGGGUUGUAAAGCUCUUUUGUCAGGGAAGAAACGGGUCUUUCUAAUACAGAGGCCUAAUGACGGUACCUGAAGAAUAAGCACCGGCUAACUACGUGCCAGCAGCCGCGGUAAUACGUAGGGUGCAAGCGUUAAUCGGAAUUACUGGGCGUAAAGCGUGCGCAGGCGGUUUUGUAAGUCUGUUGUGAAAUCCCCGGGCUCAACCUGGGAAUGGCAAUGGAGACUGCAAGGCUAGAGUUUGGCAGAGGGGGGUAGAAUUCCACGUGUAGCAGUGAAAUGCGUAGAUAUGUGGAGA
rnacentral:rRNA from 1 species